AGUGAACGCUGGCGGUAGGCCUAACACAUGCAAGUCGAACGGCAGCACAGUAAGAGCUUGCUCUUACGGGUGGCGAGUGGCGGACGGGUGAGGAAUACAUCGGAAUCUACUUUUUCGUGGGGGAUAACGUAGGGAAACUUACGCUAAUACCGCAUACGACCUACGGGUGAAAGCAGGGGAUCUUCGGACCUUGCGCGAUUGAAUGAGCCGAUGUCGGAUUAGCUAGUUGGCGGGGUAAAGGCCCACCAAGGCGACGAUCUGUAGCUGGUCUGAGAGGAUGAUCAGCCACACUGGGACUGAGACACGGUCCAGACUCCUACGGGAGGCAGCAGUGGGGAAUAUUGGACAAUGGGCGCAAGCCUGAUCCAGCCAUACCGCGUGGGUGAAGAAGGCCUUCGGGUUGUAAAGCCCUUUUGUUGGGAAAGAAAAGCAGCAGGUUAAUACCCAGCUGUUCUGACGGUACCCAAAGAAUAAGCACCGGCUAACUUCGUG
rnacentral:rRNA from 1 species